UACCAGCUCUCCGAGUGGUAGGGAUGAUUAUUGGGCUUAAAGCGUCCGUAGCCGGCUUAGCAAGUCUCCUGUCAAAUUCAGCGACCUAAUCGUUGAGCCGCGGGAGAGACUACUAGGCUAGGAGGCGGGAGAGGCCGACGGUAUUCUCGGGGUAGGGGUGAAAUCCUAUAAUCCCGGGAGGACCACCAGUGGCGAAGGCUGUCGGCUAGAACGCGCUCGACGGUGAGGGACGAAAGCUGGGGGAGCGAACCGGAUUAGAUACCCGGGUAGUCCCAGCUGUAAACGAUGCGGGCUAGGUGUUGGGGUGGCUACGAGCCACUUCAGUGCCGCAGGGAAGCCAUUAAGCCCGCCGCCUGGGGAGUACGGCCGCAAGGCUGAAACUUAAAGGAAUUGGCGGGGGAGCACCACAAGGCGUGAAGCUUGCGGUUC
rnacentral:rRNA from 1 species